GGCCAACGCUCGCAGCUACAACCCCAAACGCAAGCGCGGCGACUCUUCUCCGCCGCUCCCUGCGGCCAACGGCAUCCCUUCUAAAGAUAACGAUAGCGACAACUUCGACCUCUCCAUCUUGGAAGCUGUCGAAAAAUCCCAAAAGGAAAGCGCUGUCGAAGUGCUCGACCUUCGUACUCUGAAGAAGCUUGUCCUCUCCUUCGAGCGCCGUUACAAAGAGAACAUCGAGGCCCGCCUCAAGUACCCUGACCAGCCUGAACGCUUCGCCGACUCCGAGAUCGAGCUCCACCAAGAGCUCCAAAAGCUCAAAAUCCUCGCCGGAGGGCCCGAGCUUUAUCCAGACCUCGUCAAUCUUAACACUAUUCCUUCUAUUAUCGGGCUCCUUUCUCAUGAUAACACUGAUAUAGCUAUUGACGUCGUCCAGUUGCUUCAGGACCUCACCGACGAGGAUGUUCUUGAGGAUAACGAUGAGCCUGCGCGUGUUCUUGUUGAUGCCCUUAUAGAAAACAAUGUCUUGGAGUUGCUGGUUCAGAAUUUGCAGAGAUUGUCGGACACGGACCCUGAUGAGAUGUCUGCUGUUUAUAAUUCGCUUGCGACGAUCGAGAAUCUGAUAGAGGUGAAGCCGGCGGUUGCGGAAUUGGUGUGUGAAAGAACCAAGAUACUCCGGUGGUUGUUAGGGAAGAUAAAGGUGAGGGAGUUCGAUAGCAACAAGCAGUAUGCCUCGGAGAUAUUGGCGAUUUUGUUGCAGAACAGCACUGCGAACCAGAAGAAGUUGGGGCAGAUGAAUGGUGUGGAUGUGGUUUUGCAGGCUGUGGCAAUGUACAAGUCUAAGGACCCCAAGAGCUCCGAUGAGGAGGAAAUGGUAGAGAAUCUCUUCGAUUGUUUGUGUUGUUUGUUGAUGCCAUUGGAAAACAAAGAGAGGUUUGUAAAGGCUGAGGGAGUGGAGUUGAUGAUUAUUAUUAUGAAGCAGAAGAAAUCUGCUUAUGGGUCUGCCAUAAGGGCACUUGAUUUUGCCAUGACCAAGUACCCACCAGCAUGUGAACGGUUUGUGGAUGUUUUGGGCUUGAAGACAGCGUUUGCAGCUUUCAUGGGUAAGAUCCCCACGAGCAAGAAGAACAAGAAAGAACGAUACCAAGAGGAGUUAGAAGAACGCAUUGUAUCCCUAAUUGCUUCAUUAUUUGGUGGAAUAUUGAGAGGUUCUAGAAGGGACAGAUUGCUAAGUAAAUUUGUGGAAAAUGAAUGUGAGAAGAUAGACCGCCUUAUGGAGCUCUAUAUCAGAUAUUCAGAUAGAGUAAAAGUAGAGACUGAACGGAUGGACCAGCUUGAGCUCGAUGAUUUAGAGAUAGAUGAAGAGGAAAGAUACAAUCGAAGACUGGAAUCUGGACUCUACACUCUUCAGUUGAUAGCGGUUAUUCUGGGUCAUCUUUGGUGCUCGGAGCACUCUCGAAUGAGAGCAAGAAUUGAACUAUUAUUGAAGCAGCAUAAACUUACUAGGGAGGAUGUUAAGGAUAUACUUCAGGAAUAUCAUGACAACAUUGGUGAUCUAGAUGGACCUGACGAGAAAGAGCGAGCACAGGCAAGGAUCCAGAAAUUUAUCUCGGCG
rnacentral:misc_RNA from 1 species